CUGGUGUACUGUUUCACCAGUGAACGCUGGCCUUGUUUUGAGUUUGUGCUUGUCCUGGACCUGUUUCAGGACGCAGCCCUAUUAUCUAACUAUGCCAUCUUUAAAAGGGGUUGUGUGUAUAAAGAAGGGGAUGUCCCCAAAGUUAUAAAUACAGAAGUUAAAAACAGCAACAACCAAUCAGAAAGAGGAAAGGAGGACAAGUGUUCUGUCCUCCUAAAAGGGGAUAUUCUUAAAACAAGAUGACAAAAGGACAGGUCCUCACCCAGGGAAACGCCCACGGGAAAGUCACACAGAGAAGGGCAGUACAAACCAUCAUCUUAAGAGCCUGGGGUUCGGCAAACAAUGGUCGCUGUACUCCACCCACACCCCUGGAGCUGAAUUUCAAGUUCUGAAUUCAGACAAUAGAGCUGGAAUUUCUGCAAUUUUACUCCACAACGCAUGGAGCUCCAGGCAGCUCUCUGCUAAAAAUAUCUGGGCAAAUAUUGCAAGAAUGAAAAUGAAUAUUUGAAAAGUAAAAUACAUCUGUGGUGAAUUCUUCCAGGCCGAAUAAGAGAAAAUCAUCUAUUUGGAGAGUACCUCACAAGCAGGGCCUUGGGGAUACAGAGGAUACCCCAGCAAGACUGCCAGUCGCAACCAAAGAAGCCAACGUGGUCUUCCUGGCGGAUCUCAAGACCCCUUCCUCUCGUCUGAGAUCAGCUAGGGUAAAAUGAAGCCUCAGGACACCUGUAAAGUAACAUGCAUGAUAUAAAAAGAAGCACGGCGUGCAGCUCUCUGGAAUGUGUAGUGUAGUUGGGAGAUAAAGCAUAUCCAUGAACAGAAAAUAACCCAACAUAGCACAGCCAGUAGAAUUCCCUGUAGUUGAGGAGAGGAGCCCAACACUAUGAGAAGUAGAAUCGUCUAAUUAGUCCAAAGUGAUGAAAAUCAGGAUUUAGAGCCAUAGUUUUGAAUGGCUUCAUUGCUCAGUUUCUUUCUCAUAUAAUGUAGAGAUGAUGAUACCUACUUUAUAAGGUUAUGUUAAGAUCUGAUUAAUGCAUGUAAAAUGUAUGACAUCCAGUAUAAAAGCGUAAUAAAUAAUAAGGCCU